CCUACCUCUAGAGGCAUGGUGGGUGUGGCUGCUGUGUCUCAAGAACUUCAAUCUGUAGGUAGCAGGGAGGAAAGAAGCAACUGCCUAUGCUCAGUGCUCCGACAUGGGAACAUCUGAAUGAUCAUAGCCUAACAUU